UUUUUUUUUUUUUUUUUUUUCAUAUUAUGUCGUUGUAGCAUCAAUUUUUCUGUUUUAUGUAUUUCAGGAUUAUUCUUCCUCACUUCAUUUCGUCUUCUUCCUCUCUUUAUUUUUCCUAGUGUGAUAUAUAUCUGCAUUAUAUAUAUCUUCGUCCACACAUUUUUCAGAAAAUUCCCAUUUCACAUGUUGUGAAAAUCUCAGAAGUCAACGCUCAAUGAAGUCUUAAUUAGAGACAGAAAAAUUCCCAUUUUAAGUUUAAUCUCUCCAACAAAAAAAAAAAAUUGAUAUUCGUACAUUCAUUUUAGUAUUCAACACUCCAAUUCACUCGAUGAAUAAUACAGUACGUCUCUAAGGAGUGCCAGAAACUAACUGAAGAGGUCCAAAUAUCAAUUCCCCUCAGAAAUGGGCAUAUUCAAGGAAGAUGAAUGCAUUGCUAUUUGCGAGUGGAUAUGAAUGUUCGACCUGAAAAUCAAAAGACUCGUCGAAGCCGUGAGGCCUCAGGCUCACACAAUGACACUACUGUAGUUUGCCUUGGUCGGGAGUGUUUGAAUUGACGGAUCAGAAGACAGAACGGCGAACCCGUUCGGUUACAGAUGUCUCAGCAUGACCCCACUCACUCCAUCUCUUACUCCAUCGGAUUUCACAGCCAAGUUUCCCAAUUUCAGAUUGGAUAUAAGAAAGGAAAGCCUACGGCCCCCACCUUUAGCAGCUACUUUGACUCGCCACUGUGCUUCGUCUGCUCCACUCGGAUGCCUGCCUUCUGGAAAAUUUAAUUUGUGAUUCGUGAUGGUCAUUCCUGCUUCCAGAAGAGUUACUAAUUUGAGACCUUAUAAGUUCGGGCAUUCGAGAAUGUGAGAAAAAAAAAAAAAGAGCACUCGUGAGUUAUUAAAUUCUAAAGUUACAGAAAAUUAAUAGACAUCCUUUGACAGAAGCUACACGCUACUUGCAGUGCUCCUCCAAUCCAAACUCGAUGAAAUUAAUGAGCGCGAGGAUAAAUGCUUAUUAUUUGCUUUUGGUUGUGGUGGUGAGUUGGGAAUUAGACUAUUUGGUGAGCACAGAAGGGGCAAUGCAGCUUUUAUGCUUCUAUUCUAUCAAAUGUACCUUACUUAUAGGCUUCAUUCAUCAGCCAGCGCACUGAGGCAACCAUCUCAUUUUAUGAAAUACCAAUGUACCAUCUUUCCUUAGAAAUUAAUUCGUUAUAUAUCCUUAAACAGAUCCCCUACUGCCACUUAGCCACGGGUUUGUUUGGAUUGUGAAUUAUUAGAGAUAUUUUUACUGUAGCACUUUUUUGUGAUGUGAUGUAUGUGAGAUAAAAAGGUAAUUGGGAAGAUAAAAAGGUGCGUUGAAAAUUGUAAUGAUGAUGUAAGCAAAUAUAUUUUGGCAAAUAAACCGCAAUGGGUUCUGUAGCGGUUAUUCUGUAGCCGGUCCUUUAUGACACCACAAGAAUUAGCAAUAAUAGGGACCAUUUGCAUAUGUUGCAAGGGCGCACUGGUCCUAAAUGGGACAUUGCCUCUGAGGACGACAGAAAUGGCCUUCAACUUUAAGCAAAGCAUUUAAGUUUAAAAAAAAAAAAAAAAGGGAACCAUUUAAGUUUCUAGAGCAAGCAAAGCUGACACCAACCCCUCUUCACUCGGACACUUCAGUACUCCUUUUCUUUUUCAAGUCAUCGAGACAAAACAAACACACUCAUCGAUACUUCUUCAUUACAAUAAUGUGAACACACACAGUCACACACUGGCGCUGCCAUGAUUACCCGAAAAGAGAAGCUGAGUACCAACAGCAACAACUACCAUUUUAACUAACCCCCAUUGAAAUAAUAAUAACACCUCAAAAAGGCUAAAUUCUUGUCCUCUAAAUUGAAAUGUGCAGAGGACCAAUGUUUAAUUUAGGUCAACAUGGGAAACGUGGCAACUGUGAUCAUGUCUAGUAAUGAAAUUAAGGUCAGUGAACUCAUUAUCCUCACAUGCAGAAGAAGAAGAGCCAGUGGUCCAUGCACCCACCCCAUCUCUCAGGCUCAGCAGCUAAUUUUUUCAGUUGAUUAAGUAGGAAUCGGAUGUUUAACCAACCUGAAAUAAACAACUACUGCUCUUCCUAGUACUUGUACGCGCUCUUCUUACUUAAUUCUGGCACCUAAUCGGAACUUUAUCAUCAUAUAUAAUAUAGGUGCUUCUUGUUUGGGUUCCCCGUACGAAGAUGCGUAUAUUUGGCUAAUCUGUAAGAACAGCUUCAAAUGUAGGUUAUACAAAUGUAUCGUUGCUGACAAAAAAAAAAAAAAAUUACAAAAUUUUCCUCAAGUCAAGUGAUGCAGUUAUUUAAAAGCUGGAAAUAAAUAUCGAACCGCGAGACUAGCAUAAAUUAUUUACGAACUCAUAAAUAGGACAGAUAUCUUGUAAUCUGCAAGGAGAUUCAAAAGACAAGUUAUAUACAAAAAAAAAUAUUUUUCUGGCGGAUAGUGAUGAGCCCAUGAUCAAUUUGUAUUUAAAUAAUAUUUUAAAUAAUAAAAAAAAAAAAAGAGAAUAAAAUCGUCUAUUCUCUCAAACUUCAGAAAGGACGUACAACUGAUUUUAACUCAAGUUCAAUAUUUAUACCUCUUUUAUUUUUCCUUUUUUUUUUGUAUAAUAAAACCAAUUGUCGUACCUCUUAAUUGUCUUGUAGAUAUUGAGUCUAGUAGUAAUACUUACUUUCUGCUGACGUACUACUAUUUGUCGAAGAUUGUGUUUGGAUUGCAUUUUUCAUAAUUUUUCAUGAAAAAAAUACUGUAGCGAUUUGAUGUAUGUGAGGAAAAAAGGUAAUAAGGAAAUGCGAUCACGAAAAACGACAUAAUUUUUUGACGAAAAAUAGCAAUCCAAACAAGGUGUUUCGGUGUAUUUUUCAAAGUUGCCCUGCAGGAUCAAAUUUUACCUCAACGUUCAUUUCUAGCAAAGAACUUCCGGAACGGAAUGGUAAUUACGAAUUUGACGACAAUCAUCGAAAUUCAUACAUUUCUAAAAGGAACUUCCGGAGCCGAAUGGUAACUAUUACUGUAACACCCAAGCCAAGGCACCGCCAUAAUACUCGAAGUUUUAACCGCUCAAAAGCAUAGAUAAAUUGUAUUACUCAUUUCUGCAAGGCCGCCACCACCAGCAAUGUUCAAAGCAUAGGCAACCAGUUGGUACUGCAAACUUAAAAAUGGCGGAGAGAUACAGCAGCUAAAUUUGCACUUUUACAGAAAUUUAUUUGGCAUAUUACAAACUUGCAUAUUAAAAUUACAGAAAUUUAUUUGGCAUAUUAAAAACUUGCAUACUAAAAUUACAGGUAGAGCAGCUAAGUUGGGUCUCUGGAAAUCAGUUUCUCCCACAAGAAUGAUAGUAUAAAACAUCGUGCCUUCCAACUAACUGAUUCCGACUCGAAACAGCAUUGCAUCCGGAGAGAGCUCC
rnacentral:lncRNA from 1 species